UGAGCCACUAUAUAGUACUUCAGGAUCCCAAGAAGUUGCACUGAUUGCUGCAGUGUAGUGAAGGACACUGAGUCUCCAAGUAGUGUCAUGGCAGGACUGGACCCAGAGUUCUACUGGCUCUUCCCAGUCCUGGGCCUUGAAAUCUCGUGCAGCUGUUGGCCACAUGGGACUGGACACAAACUGUGUCCAUCUUCCAUGGGAAAAAAAACUCAGUCCACUUUCUACCUUCAAGCUGCCAGGGGCCCUGAUCUUGUGUGCAGUGGCCAGAGCAGAGUGCCAGUGUCUGUGAACAUUAGUGGAGUGUCAUGAACCCCUGUUGGGUGGGUAUGCAGGAGAGAGGCAAAGAAGGAACAGGGACUUGAUCAGGGUCAGUCCUUUCAUUUCCCUCUUGCAGUGCCCUGGCUAUGACUUCAGGUUGCUGCAAUCUGUAGCUGACUCACAGCAGCACUGAGAGAUUCAGUGCUGAUGACUGGCUGAAAGAUGAGAGGUAACUGGUUUUUCUCCCAGUCUAAUCUCACACCCCAGGGAGAAGAGAUCAUGUGGAAACAAAGUGCUGAGAGUUAGUGUCCUCUGCUGACCUCAUGAAUAUGAUUAUCUGAAAGGAUAACUUCUACUUGGCAGAUUUGUGCGUGCUGUUCUGGGUUCAAAAUUAUCAAUAUGCCUUCAAGAAGCUUAUCCUAAGUAAUUCUGACAAAUUGUUGAAGUAAUUUGAGCAUCAAACUAUACUGAAACCUUAAACUUUUUUCUGUUCAAAAGCUUGGCUGCUGGGAAUGCAGUAUGCAAGAUAUUAAUUUUGCCUUACACUUCCUCUGGAUGAUUUUCUGACAGAAGAGAAGCUUUGUUCUUUUGUAGUGCAGUACAAAAAGCAACAUGGCCACUCCAAACUGAAUCUAGAUUUGAUCAGGUGCAGAUAGAUGUAUGGAAGAGCCUGUAUUUUCCUCCUGUGUUUGCAGACAUUUAGAGGAAAUGUGUUUUUAUAUGGCAAAAAUGAACAGAACAGCAGAGAACUUUGAAAAGCUCAGAAGGAGGAGUGUAUUUGAACAGUUUCUCAAGCACUGCAGGACAAAUCCUGUCCUGCUUCCACCUACAUUGGAAUAAAGGAGGGAGAUUAUGAACUGAGUGAUACCCCUAAUGUGCAGCAACAGUUAAUUGUUGGAUGUUACAGAAAAUAUUCUCUUUGUCACCUUCAGUAGGGCACAGGAGAUUUGACUAGAGGUGGAAUCACAGAGAGAUGACUGUCUUCCCUGCAGAGACUCAAAUGGAAGAGACACUUUGACAGGGUAAAUUAGAUGCAGGACAAAGACCUUCUGAUCACAGCUGGUUUCAAUGGGCUUAUUUGAAUGGGAAAACUCUGAGCUGAGGGCAAACUCUGCUGAUGACUCAGAGUUGUGUGUUGCAGUGAAGGAAUUGUAGGGUUUUUAUUUUCAGUACUUCUGAGAUUUCCUGUUCCCUACUGACAUCGCUACUAAAAUGUUAAAAGAUCUGAAGGGAUGGAAAACAGCCCACUUGCGAUGUUUGCUUUCCUGCUGAGCAGCCCCUAGCAGGGCAAUUUUACCAAUCAGUCAGAACCCUAAGAAAAUUUUGCUGCAACUUUGUAAAAUCUGACUCUGUCCUUCAAAAGAGGAAGCAUUGCCUGUAGAGAGCACUCUGACUUGGCCCUCUGAAGCCUAAAGCUGAGUUUGAGAUAUCUCACCUUGUUUUGGGGAUGUGCCUAGUCCUUGUCCUCUUCUUUAAAAAGUCUGAAUGGUACUUUUCUAGUGAGGCUGGGCUGUUGCAAGUUCUUCCUGGCAGUGACAGUACUGUAUGUUUGAGGUCCUGCCACCACAGCACCUUGAUAUUUUCUGGAGAAUUCUUGCUUUACCUCUAGGAUACCUAUAAAAAUUGAAAUGUGGGAUGUGGAAAGUACAACAGUAGUUCAUAUAAAAAUGGCUUCUGUCAUUACUCUCUAGGACAUUGGAUUGUGGGUCAAGGCUAUUCAGCUACGUGACAACUGUCACUGCCUCAGGAUUUUCAGGCUGUUAUUGCUUUUGAAGAUUGCUGCUUGUCCUGUGGCUGAUGGAUGAGUGUUUUGGGGCUCAAAGCAGUCCCAGCAGCACUUCUGAGCCACAGGAUUUUAACUAUGAAAUAGUAAAAAAACCAAGUCACUACUUUCUCCCCCUGCUGACUAGAGAAAAUAGAUCCAACAGAUAACAGUUUUGAGAUGAGCCAGAUGUGGAUGUUUUCCCCAGAACCUCAAACCCUGUGUUUAUGGUCCCAGCAGCUGCACAUGUGCACGUCCCCUCCGGUGUGGCUGACCUGUUCUCCCAGGGAAGCAGCCAUUGACUCCAGAGCCUGUCUGGUUGCCCAGGUGGCUGCAGCAGCGCCAUGGUGGGAGUGACAGGUUUAAUGUUGUAACAGCACUGCUGAAGGAUGUUGCUGGAGCUGAAAUAAAACUGAAGUGGCUGAAGCCAGAGGCUGAGAAAGAUGUUCCAGAUGUCCUGAUCACUGUGUAAUUUCCAGAAAUACAUCUGCAUUUCUUCUCCCAUAGUAUUCUGAAAAAAGCUGAAGGGCAGCAGCAGGAGACAGAGGUGGCCAGCAGCUCCAGUACACCCCAGUCCUAAGGGGAAAUCUAGUCUGAGCACAUGAAGGUCUGUCUAUGUAUAUCUGUGUCAGGAGCAGACACUAAAUUUUUCACUUCUCAUACCAAAGGGGCUGCCUGCUCACCUGGCUUCCCAUGAGCAUUAGGAAGUCUCUGGGGUAGCCUGAGCAUCAGCUUGUUGAGGGCUUGUUUUGGGAAACUCAUCAUGACCUUUCCUUUGUAGGCUAUCAUGCCUGUGGGUGUCACUGUCCCCACUGUGUGGUGUUUAUGAACAGGGCCCAGCACAGCCCUGUGGUACUGUUAUCCUGGCUGCAUUGCCAUGCACCAGCAUCUGCUUCUUCCAGAGACAGAUCAGAAAGCAAAGGAGAUGAAUGUGUCCCAUAUUAACACAUGAUUGUAACCAAACAUACAAAGGAAAGAAGGUGGUGACUUCAGUGGAAGUCAUCUAAACGAAGCCAAAGGUGCUUAUAAAUGUCCACUUCUUCUUCUUCUUUGCCAAGAUACUGUUUGCCAAAAAUAAAGAGUUGUGGUUUGAGCAUAAAGUCAGCCUUGCUUUAGGGUAGGAGAAUCCCGGAAUUUUUUGUGUUUGUUUGUUCCUUCUUGCACAGAUUUCCUGGCUAUUUCUGCUUGAAAGCUUUACUGGGCAAUGACUGAAUCCUUUCGGCUUGCCUGCCAGAAAGCAGAUCAUCACAUUUUGCAGACAAACCCAAAAAGAGCUUGGAUGCUUCCCUUGCCCUGAACUUGCUCCCAGAUCUCACAGGCCAUUUUAUUGAAGCUAUGUGGCAAAAGCCUGUGUUUCAGUGUCUUCAAAGGGAGUCUCAAUGAGCCAUCUUUAAUAAAAAGAUUGGGUCAUACUCCAAGGAGUAUGAGCUGGGCUGCCUUGGGCACAAAAAUUGUGAUACUUCUGUUUCAUGUAAGGACCCAUAAAAAGGUUUGUAUGACCAGGUGUCCAAGGCUCAGCAUUCAUGUUAAAUGGACCCUUAAUGCACAAUGUUUUGUGUCCCAAAAGACAGUGUAAUCAAAUGCUGAUUGUAACAAUAACUUGCUUCCUGCAACAAACAUACUGAAUAAGAUGUUGGAUCAAAGUCAUUUCUUGGACCUGAUUACUUACACCUUUCCUUAUUUUGAGACCACUGAGUCAGAAACGAGCUCUUUCUGAGCAUGCAGUGCACUCAGCAGCUGGAUGUCCACCACAUAAGUAGAUUCUGGUGCUGUUUCAGGAGCUCUGCUCAAUACUUUUUGCCCAGAAGAGAUCCAAAGCAAGGUGUUGGUCACCUUGAGGUAUGACUUAAACACAAGGGCCGAGAUGUUUGGAUUAUUAGUUUCUAAUGGCGUAUUGCAGUGAGGUACCUGGAAAUUAACCUAUUUUAAUUAUAGUGAUCCAUAAAAUCUUGAUGUCUGACACUAGGCUUUGCAAUGUCGUCUGUUGGUCACUGCAAUGUCUAAGCCUGCUCUCUCAGGCAGACUUCCUCACUUGUCCUGAGGUCUGGACCUCUCUGGAGGCCCGAGAGUAUUUGUUCUCAGCCAGGUGGGUGGCUGGGCAGAGGUGUGGCCUGGGAGGCUGCAGUUGAAAAGGGCAUGUUGCACGUGCCUUGCUGCUCAGGGCUGGGUAGUCUCAGUCUUAAGGCCACUGGGAUUUGAAUAUGAGGCUGAUUCUUCAGAGGCAGCAUCUGUUCUUAGCGCUAUCUCAAACUUCUGUGCAAAUUCUCUAGCAGAAAUAAAGUUUCAUGAGGAAAGUCUAACCACAAUUCAACAGAGGUGGUAAAAGGCAGUGGGUAGGAAAGAAACUUGCUCACCUCCAGUCUAUUUUAAUGAUACGUUGUGAAGUAAAGGGGCCUUAAUGAUACUAGUCAAGCAUCCUCAGAGGAACAGAACUAUCUGCAUGUUUUAUAUUCAAUAACACUGGGGGUUUUUUAAUUUUUCUCUAGGGAAUCAAGUUACUCCUUCAUGAAGCUGAUCUGGGGCAGUGUGUGCCUGUGUCCCAAAUUCCUGGUAAGGGGAGAGGAGUUAUGUAACUGGCACAAGGAAAUCAAAACUCCUGCUAUGCUGGGCUCACUCAAUAAAAAUGGUAUCAUGGGAAAAGACAUGCCAAAGUAGGCUUAAAUAAACAGCACAGAGGCAAUGAACCUGCAUGACAUAUGGAAGGGUUACAGGGAUGACACAGUAAUUUUAGUUGUGAUUUAAGAGUUUAAAGGAGCGAUGGCAGAUUAGGGGUAAAUCCAGAGUUCAUCUGUAUGUUACAAACAGCUGCUUAUUUUCAUUAGAGAGUUUUUUCUUUUACUUUUGUUUUUCUCUAUCAAGUCUUAGCUGUCUGGUGUGAAAUCUGGCAGUGUGUGUUGGAUCAGAGCACAUUCCCACUGAAACCCAGUGUAAAGGCUUGUCAGUUCUCCAGGGUCUAUCAAACUUCACAAAUAUUUAUCAAGUAGAUAAGCUUUUACAGCAACUCAUUCUAAACCAUUGAAGUUAUUUCUUGGAAUAGAUUUGUUAAGAAAAGAAACCCUCUUAAACUUUCCUAACAGAUAGCAGUCCAAUGAGAGCUAGCCUCCUAAAUGCCCAGUAUGAAAGGGAAGAAUAGCGUGGCAUUUGAUUUCCUGAGUGCUAAGAAAUGAGCUAAGAACAACAAAUAUUGUCCUUGUUUGAUUUGAAAUGGAGCCAUGCACUUUCUGGCACUCCUUGCAGUUCUGCAGUGUUUUCCCACCAGUGCUGGAGCCUUUGCACAGGCACUGUGUGUUUGUGUGCUUCUGUAGAUAUUUGGAGCUACUUAAAGAGGUUCACGCUACUCACCUGUCCCCCAUUCCUGAUGUAAAUACAGAUGGGCUAUAGCUCCUUUCUGAAACCUGCUUGGUUUCAUUAGGUUUUUAAAGAGUUAUUCUGUUGUGUCUGAAAAACAGGAGGAAGACUAUAGACUACUUUAUAUUAUUCACGUGUGUGCUAUGUUUUGGCUUUCUCAGAACUUGAUGUAACAGAGGUGCAUUUUCAUUGCUCAGAUCCCCCUCUGUUCCUCAAGCCUAAUAAAAGCCAUCUAUAAAUCAGCAAUGUAGUGCUUUCACAAUGCUGGGGCACACACAAGAGGGGUGUAAUGUACUUAGCAAAAGGCCAGACUAGAAAGAAUUCCAAGAUAAACAGAGACCCUUUAACAAGUUUCCAUUGGGCUCUGACAAGGCUAGACCAGGAUGUGUGAAGGGCAAAAUAAUCUCUCAGCACUCAAUAGGAGCAGAAGAUCUAUAAACUGUGGAGGAUCAUUGGCAUUUCUUGCUCUUUGCCUCCCAUUUCUGGUCUGAAAAUUGUCAAGGCCCCAGCCUCUUCAGAGCCUCAUCACUGCAAAAAGGCACUCUUCUCUGGCAGUCUUAACUGUCUUUGGAACAGAAGGAUCCACUGCAAAUGCCCCUGGUGUCCCUCUGUGGUGAUAUGCUAUUAUGCACUGAUUGCAGAGUUUUACUGGUCCCUGUGAAAAUGAGAAUAUGCCCACCUUUGUUAAAUGUCAGUGUUUUCAGAGAUAUGUAAAGAGAUAUCAGACAAUGUGGGAAGACAGAAAAGAUAAUGUUGCUUGCUUUUCCCUUUAGGAUUGGGAUAGCUGAGUUUCCCAGAGGUGUUCUAAGUCCUUCUGCUGCUUGGAAAUGAAAACCAGGGCCAGUGACAAAGGCUUAGCUAUAGCAACAGUGCAGCUGGGAAUGCUCAUUACAAACAGGCUGUGUCAUUAUGGUGGUGUGGAAAAACUCUUCAGAACCUCUACUACCUUUCAAGAACUCCUACCUUCCUUCCUUCCUUCCUUCCUUCCUUCCCUCCUCUUGGCAUGCUCUUGCAGUCUAUUGCUAGGAGGCCUUGUGCAUCCUGCUUUGUGUUUGUUCUCCUACUCCUGGCCCUUGGUUCUUCCAUCAGCUGUUUUCAAACAACCUAUUUUGCCAGUCUAAUACACACUAGACACCUAAUUUUAGAGAAGAAAUGAUCCCAGGUGCUUUUCUGACUUGCUCCAUAAUACAUUUUUCUUAAACAGCAGUUUGAUUUUUAAUCUUCCAAAAGUGAUGUAGCACUUGGAAGAGCAGCCUCAUUUGGGGCCUCCUUUACCUGCUGUUUCAUGUUUCUGUGAUGAGAAUUACAAGUAAAAUCACAUUUCAAAGUCCUUAAUCAUGGUCUGAAGGUUAAUACUAAGGGGUCACCCUCUGCAUUUCCCUCCCAUCUCAGCAGGAAUACUUGGCUCCUGUGCAUGUCACAAUUUUUGUGCAGCUAUUGCCUGGCUGUUACUGAAAUGACAAUAGAGAAUCACUUGGUUGGAGGUAAAGCUGAGCUGUGAUACAUGUUCAAUCUUAUCAGACCCAAGUGUGAGGCUAAGAUCCAACAAGAGUGAUGAUUUCAUCAUUUAGAUACAAAGCUAAAUAUUCCAAAUUUGUGAGGACAAAAAGAAAGACACCAUUUUGUAUGUGUGGGAUGUUGUUGGUACUUUUUCUGUCUCCUACCUGAACUCAGGCACCUAAGGAUUAUAUUUUUCUUGGUGAGUCCUUUUUCUCAGCUGAAUUUACAGGAUCUAUGCUGAACUCUUAUGGCUUGAUCCAAAAUCUGCACAAAGGGAUAAAAUAUUUUCAGAAAACUUCUAUUUAACUUUAAUGCCUGGUGUCUUUUCAUGCAGAAUUUGCUGUGAUUGAGCAGUAUGACUACUGCAUGACAUGCUACAACUAGCAUGAUCUACCUAGCUUUGUAGAGAGAUGUAAUUAAAAGUAAAGACAAAAUUGCAUGGUAUUGGGAGAAAGAAAACAGAAUACACAAGAAGGCUGAGAAAACUUUGUUUCUUCUCCAUAAUAUUAGCUGGUUUAAUAAGAAACAUAACUUCUCUAAAACCCCAGCCUUGGAUAGAAUUGCUGCAACCUUACAGAACAAGACACACAUUGUAUCACAGUAUCAUUGUAUCACAUCACAGUAGGAUGUGUUGAAACACCCUUUUCUUUGUUUAUAUGUAGUAUCCCUGGGAAGAAAGAAACAUGACCUUCAUUUACAAAUGAAUCAUUGAUUGAGCAACAGUUUAAAAAACAACAAAAAAAAGAGAAUAGCAAAAAGAAAGAAAAAGGCACAGCAGAUAUUUUGAUGACUAGUCAAACAGCAGAGAGCAGAGUCUCUCUUGCCUGGUGUGCAUCAUUCCAAUGUCACUGUUGUCCCUCCAAAGGAUCGAUGUGGCUUGUAGAUGUACACAAAUAUUGGGGAGUGGCAGACUCUUAGAAAUACAGCCUCUCUCACCUCUUUGUUCUUUGUACCUCAUCAGCCAUGCUCAGCAGAGUAUAACGAGCCCUUUCGAUACCUUAAUUUCUCUUUUCCAUUUUAGGGUCUUCUUUUUAAGCCUUCUUUUGGUUUUGCUGUAAUGUGAUGCUAAUUCUUUUGUAAGUCAAAAUGUUGACAGGCGUAUGCUUGCUCUGUAGGUUUAGAGCUUGUGGGUGAAUAACGUGUCUGUGUGCCACAUUUAGCUUUGUGCUUUGCUUGGAACAGUCUGUUCCAACACAUGGGGAUUUUUUCUCCUAGACCUCACCUUUCUGCCCAUAUGAAAUGCAAGCUGCUUGCUAUUUCAUACCAUGCUCCUUUAUAAUGAGCUAAUUCUUUUCCUACACUCUCUUCCUCCUACUGUUCCACCUUUUCUACAUCUCUGUAGAAUUCUUUAAGCAGGAAAUGGAUCUCUUCAAGCCAAGUGCUGUGCUUGAUUGCUGCUGUGUAUUUAGGGUAGCUAUAGUGCUCUAGUGGCCCAGAGUCCCUGUAGAAGGCCAUGGAGACCAAGGUCAUGGUUCCCAGGGAACUGAGAGACAUUGAAUUUGCGUCCUAUGUUUUGAUGGCAAACACUGGAAGGAGAGCCUAGGCAUUUCUUAAUGUCUCUAUUUUCUUGCAAGCGAAAGGUACAGUUGCCAUGGAUAUGUUUUGAGAUCUUAAAUGGAAGGGGAAGAGGUUGAUAAGGCACAUGCCAUGGUGCAGUCAGUGCACUUAGACCGCAGUCUCUUCAGGAGCUGCAGCCAAGUAGACCCAAACUCAGCAAUGUGAAGUCCAAACUCGUCUACUAAAUGGACAGAAGGAACCUGGACAAAUAGCAAAGAAGGAAUGUGAUUAAUGAGUCCCAACCAGCUGUGAAUGCUGCUCAAGAAUCAGGGGUCAGUGCACCUGCUGCUCAGCAGCAACACGCAAAGCUACUCCCGUAUCAGUGAUGUGUUGGGAGCAGACCCCAGUCCUUGAAACACACCCACUGUGUGCUGCUAUUGGAGCAGAGAGCAGUCAUGUAAAAAGAAACAGCACAUCUGAAUUUCCUCUCCAUGUUUACAGUUCUGUUCAAGGUAACACAACAUUUUUCCUGGAAAGGAACCAUCUUAAAACUAUUGGGUGGAAUAAGAAAAGUGCAUGGGUGCUUUCCAGAGUCAAGCCAUCUCCAGAUUCAAGCGUUGAUGUAGGAAUAGAUUUGUACUAAAAAUACCCAUUGAUUUAAUUUUUGGCAGGCAAAAAGCAGCUACUUGAGGGACAACAUAGGUAGUUUGGGCUCUGGGAGAAGUGCCUGCAGACUUGAUCUGGGAUUUAUGCAGCUGGCUAUACCAUCAGAGGUGUACACAUUACUGCAUUUUCCCCAGUAACACCAGACAGUAGCACUUUUGGUGCUUAGUGCUCUUCUGUAACUAUGUUUAAAGUUGAUGUAGAAUGAAAAUGCCCCAUGUGCCAUUGAUGACUCCUUGCUCUGGAGGGUGUUGUCUGCUAGGUCAGCUCAGGGCACUGGUUUCAGACGAGCCUGGAAGAUUUCUGUUUUAAUUCAGAAUUGUGCCUACUUUGGCACAAAUCACGACAAGAGACAUGUUUCUGUUGGAGAAACAGUUCCUGGCAUACUGUCCUAAAACUAUGCUUGUGCUGAUCUUCCUUCUUUCCUUUUGUUACCAUGCAUAUUAGACAGACACUUGAAUCACCUGGCCUUGCACUCAUCUACCUAUCCUGGAAUCUUCCAGGAUUGUGGUGCUUCGGGAAGAAAAAAUCACGUAGGGGUCCUAUAGACACCAUGUGUCCCUGUGUUCUUCUUUCUCCCCAUCUCCCAAGUCCUUCAUGAUACGCUCGAGCCAUUGCUGCAGCAUCACCUGGUGCCCCAACCCCGCCAUCUCUCUGUGUCUCUGUGACCUGUGCAGCCAAAGUGACAGCCAGGUGACGUUGGGGCUGGGUUCAUCCUGCAGCCACAGCUGGGGCAGCAUCUCCAGCACCACCACUGCAUCCCAAAGGCAAGGACCCUGGGAUCUGGGAAGGCUGAGGACCCUGACAUCUUGGGUAAUGAGGACCCACAGAGACUCCCAGGACCAAGUUAUUUGGGGAUGUUAAGGAUCCCACUCCCUGGGGCAUCCACCUCUGGGGGCUCAAUGUAUGUCUGCUUAUAGACAAACAAUAUUGCAAAGAAAAAAGUCAUCUUAGUAAAUAUUUAUCUGAGUGCCACAUACAGUAUAAAUUUAAAUUGGCUCACUGUAUUCAGUAACAGGGUUUGCCAGCAAAUGGACAGUCUUUGUGUGAAAUUCAGUUCUAACAAUUAAGGAUCUGUCAGAUUUCCACCAGAUGAACAGUUAUUUAAUUGAGGAUAUAUGUCCUGUACUAUUUAAUACAUAAUAAAAUUCUUUUAAUGAAUAUGUGAGCUAAGAUUAAGGCUGCUAAUUUAAUCACUGACAGCAGAGUCUCUCAGUGUGAAAAAUAAUGCUUUUGCAUUGACACAUUAAUUGUUGCUAAUUUUUCUAUGCUGUUAUUUUACAUGCAAAGAUCAAAAAACCACCAUUUUCCUGGAGGCCGGAAUAAAACUGCAAAAGCUUUAGAGGAAGCUGGGCAGGGAGCUGUGGUACUGACUUUCUGACAGGAAAAAAAAGUAAUUUUGGAGAGGAGCAGAGUCUGUGACUUUUUAUUGGAAAAAUCAGUCAGGUGGAAAACUCUUGAUCAGUCAUCCCAGUUGCCUCAACUGGUUCUGAAUAUCUUAUUUCCCAAUACCCAGUACCAGUUCCAGGUUUCAGGGGGAGAACUGUGACUUCUUGCUGACCAGUCCUGCACUCCCAGCACACUGAUUUCUCCAAAACAGGUUGUAUGAUUUUGUAUGAGUGCUGCAUCUGCUGUAUGUUAGAUUAAUAUUGUGUGUACUGGUGUCAGGAGACAGAAAGAAUAAAUAGCCUCUAAGCAGACAGAAGGCUAUAUUUAGGUCUAGGCUGAGUAUGCCCUCUGCCUGCCAAAUGCAAAAAAUCCAAGCCCUAGUGCCUCUUCAUUUCCUGCUGAAGACUUACAUACGGUUGUUUCCUCCUCGUGUUUUAAAACUUUCAGACAUGGUUACAGCCUUGUGUGAGGCAGCUGCUCUGUGACAGCCCCAAGACCACAUGGUGUGACUUCCACCAUGGGCCAUGGGGCACGAACACAGGCUCUCCCCUGGGGCCUCUCCUCAGCCCUGCCAUGGGCCAGAACCCACCUGAGUCCCUGCACCAGUGCUGCCAUAGGAAGCUGAUCCCAGCUUUGUGCAGCCAUGGCUCUGCAAAGCCCAGUUCCAUCCCCAGGGCCCUGCCCAGCCAUUCUGGGACUGUGGCUGAUCCUGGUUUCCUGCACCAAGCCUGAACCUGACCCCCACCCCUGGGGGUACAUCCUGGCCUGGACUUGUCCUAUCCCUAUGCCCAGGGAGUUGCUGGAGCUGCUCGCAGGCUUCCCUGGUCCUUGGCCACAGUCCCCCUGGGAACACCCACUGCCUCUGUCAUUCACAGUGUCCAACCUUCCAAAUACCACCACAGACAGACCCCUUCCACCACCUCAGCUAAGAAAUAUUAAUCCAGAAAGGACAGAAAGGGCUAAAGUGUAUGGAAAGGCCAUCUAUGGUUCCUGCUUUAUGAUUUUUCACCAGGAGCACAGGACUCCCCUUUACAGAGGCAGUGUGUCUCUGGGAAGCAGCCUCUGUCAUGGUGGAAUAUAGAUGUUCCUGAGUUAGAUUUAAAUGAAAUGCAGUGGAUAUCACAGAGGAAUCCAGCUGUGAGACUCAGCAUGGGCUAAAUUUAUCCUGUUCUCUGCGCUCUGCUGUACUCUGGUUUAGAGGUUUGAUAAAUGGUCCACAGGUCUGAAUAUUUCAGAAACAGCCUGGCAUUAUUCCCAGGUUCAAAUAGGAAGUAAAGACUGCCAAAAGACAUUGGGAAAAGUAAAAGAGCUGCUUGUCACCAGCACUUAGAGGACUUUAGCCUUUCAAGAGGAGAUUCUGAGCUCCUGAUGAGAGCAGACUUUCAUUCUAGUUUUACAAUUGUAUUGCCAGGCUGGAUCUUUUUGUUCCCAGAACUUCUGAAGUUGCUAAAAAAAUUUGUUAUUUAAAGCCUCUUUUUUUCUUCCCUUUUACCAAGACUGAUUCGCCUCAAUAAUGCUGAGCCUGUGUACACUGUCAGGAAUAAGUUAUCAUGAAAUGGAGAAUCAAAGUGUACACCUUUGUGGGGAAGACAGUUGAAGAGAUAGGAGAGCAAUUUCCCCUUCUAGAUAUUGCUUCCUUCCCUGUGCAGACUAUGUGUAGAUAUGAGUGGAAACCCACCUAAUCCAUAAACCCAAACUGUUUGGAAACACAUUUUGUAGCAUGAAAGUCAGGUUGCCCAGGUCCCAUUUAAUGCCCAGCACAAAGUAAUGUUUCACAACUGCUCUUUCAGAGAAGGAUGGUUUAUUUUAAAUGUUUCAGUACAGGAUUAUGUCUCACUGUGCCAUCUGUGUUUUGAAUGCAUCAGGUUCUGUUGUGUAGGUACAUAUAUAUAUAUGGUGCAUACGUAAGUGAGAGGAGCUAAGGGUGACUAUCUACCUGCCUCCACUUCUCAUUUCUAUGAACUAGACAGACAUCUGUAUCACUGCUUAACCUCAAGCUAAGAUUGGUGGCAUUAGAAGCUUUCUACACAAUUCACUACUGGAGGAGUAGCAAAGAGUUUUUCCAAAACCAAACACCUAUUUCCAGUAUCCAGCAGAAUACAAGUCUCCUGGAUGAACUGCAAAUUCAAAACUGACUAUGAAUGACCAAGGGAAUGAUACAAGUUCUUUAGCCAGCCAGGUAAGGCACAGUCUUUGAUCUUGGACUGUAGUGAAAAUGCUGUUUUUAUUUAAUUGUCACUUAAAUGGGAAUAAAUCAGAAAUAACUCACGUAAAUCUUACAUCUGUACUUCACUUUCUGGUAAGUCUCAUAGGCUCAAUGGUGAUGUGAUCUAAUUUGAAAUGUCUUUGAGAAUUUAUUCAGAAUGAGUUUUACCAGAGUACUCUUUUUAUUCGAAAGGAGAAGGUAGGUUAAAAAAAAUAAAAAAGGUAUUUUACAAGGAAAAGGUAUUUUACAAGGAAAGAACACUCAGCAUGAAGGUCUGGUUAGACACAUGGUAGUGUUUAAUCCUUACUGUUCCUAACCCUUCAGGCCAGGUUUGCAACACUGGGAACUUUCCAGUUCUUGCUCCUGGACCUACUGACUGCUAAGAGGACAGAGCUGUCCCAGCCUCCUCAUUUUGUCUUGGCUUAAUAAAGAACAGUGUAAAGGACAAGAUGCAGCAUAUGCUAAAAGUAUAUGCCUGUGGGCUCCAUAUGUCAUACAGCUGGAAGGCAGCUGCCUUACAGAAGUAAUAAGUAAUAUAGCCAAGAAACAACCAUUAUAAUCAGGUGUUGGGGCAGCCAAGUGAGUAAUACUGCCAGGAGGAAUGCCUACAGUACAGCAGUUGUGAAAUACUGAUUAAGAAGUCCUAAAGUGGCUAUUUUCUCCUGACAAGUCAUUCCUGCUGAAGCAGGCAUGUUUCCAGGCUAAUAGUUUCUAAGUGCACUUUCAGGCUUAUGUGUUUUGGAUGAAGCUGGAUGUUUUUAUGUGUUUUAGCUGAAGCUGGUUUGUUCUUCCUGUCUGUAUAUGCAAUGCCUCCUAUCAUAACCCAUCAUUUCAGCUUAUCAUCACACUCCUGGGAAUCUUGAGUUCCUUAACAGAACUGACUGAAAACCUCCCCUCAUGCAGCAUUUCCUGGACAAUUCAGUCAAACCCUACUAAGACAAGCUUUCCCAUGGUAAAAAGAACACUAAAUGUAUCAGCUGCUAUUUUCAUUUAUUUAUUUAUUUAUUCUAAUUAUUAUUAUUCUUUAUAUUUUCUUUUUCUUCAUCUCAUCCUUAUUGUAUGUGAAAGGUGAGGAUGAAAUCUGCCCCUGUCAGACACUGGCUGCUGUUAAAAAUAGACAUGUCUCUGGUAAGAAAUCUUGGGAAGGGGUAUUGCUGGCAACCUGAUCAAACCUAUCACUUUGCAAUUUUUGCUUUCCUACUUUGUUUUUUUUCCCCCAGUUACAUGAAUGCAUUGUUGCUCAGAGGUUCGUUACUUAUUUUAAACAAACUCUUCCAUACAGUAGUUCCAGCAACCUAGAAAUGAAGCAAGUUGUUCUGCAAGGGUCAACAAUUCAUAUUAUAUAUUCUAUUUAUAUAAUUUAGCCAGUGUUAGAGCUUUAUCCCAAUAUCAUUUGACCAUUGUGGGAAAAGUCAUGUUAAUAAUAUUUAGGGUAAAACUGAAAACAGGACUUAAUAACAUUUCUUGUCUGCUUCAAAACAGCCUUAGGAUCUUGACAGCAUCUCAUUCAGUACAGGCAUAUUCAUGAUAUUGCUGUGGGCUCCUGAGAGUUAUUUUGCUGCACUCAAGGGUAUUACUGGUGGUAGUUCUGCCUGCAGUCUGCUCAGCCCCUUGCUACCAAAAGUGUUUGUCAGACUCAUUUUGUGAUGUAUGUGGCCUUUUGAGGUCUCCAGUUAAAAGAAGUGUUAAAGCUACAAGACAUUCUUAGCUGUUGACAGCUACAAGACAUUUUCCUAAUCAAAAGAAGUGAGUUCAGAGUGUGGUUGUUAUUGGUGCUCCUGUUCUUUUUUAAACUUCCUUACAGUAAUUGUGCCAAAUGUCACUCUUUGAAGAACAUAAAGGAGCUGAUCAAGUUAAAUUCCAAGAUUGCUUUGUCAUCAUAAAAGGGUAAGGAGUGACUGCAAAUAUUCUUUAUGAAAAACAAAUGGAGGGCUUAAGUUUCUUUCCCUGUUUUUUCUUGAGUGGAGUAAAUCCCAAUUUGUGGUGGCAGGUAUGAGAGGACAAGAAUCCUAGGCAACAAUCCAAGGGAGAAUGCAUCCCAACACCUAAAAGUGAAAUAAUUGAGAGUUGAUUCCUUCUUGCACACUUGACAAUUAGUGAGGAAAGUCACUCUUUCCUCCAGCAGAAAAAUGUCCCGCUUUGCUUUACUGGCAUUUUCCUAUUGGUGUUUGUCAAGUGUCUCUUCUGGAGCAUGAAUGACCCUACAGCAGAGAGCUGCUAGUAUCUUCUACUCUGUGCAAUAAAAGCAAUUUGGCUUCACUUUUGAGGCUUCAGAGUGGAACUUUACAAGUUUUAAAGAAAUGUAUGUAUGUUGGUAUGUAUGUCAUACAUACACACAGAGCUGUGUAUCUACGUAUAAGGGCAAACUCAUAGUUUAUUAAUGUUUUUGUGGCUGUAAAUACUGAUGAUAUCGGAAAAUGUAACAUGACCUUAUAAAAAAUAAUGUAUUAGCACAUGGUAAAGUACAGGCUCCCAUUGUAACUCAGUUGCUAUUUGCUAAUUAACAAAAUUAACUUUCUCAGACACAAAUGGGAAUUAUUGAGUUUUAACUGUUAUUUUGAUUUUUGGUUAUAAAAAUUUCCAUGGCUAAUCUCUUCUUUAUAAGUAUCAGAUGUUCUUCAAGGUUAGCUUGUGUAAUGCAGUGCUGAGAGCAGCUGAAUUUUUUCACUGGUGCUGGUGACUCCAAAUCUCCUGCACAUCUGCAGUGUGCACCUACUGCCCUGGAGCAGAGGUACCUGCAAUUGCCUGCCUUUCACUCACAGGUAUAUAGGAAAUCAGUUGUGGUAUUUGAUGUAAUUGGCUCAGUUUCAUUUUGGGGGGUGGAUUUGAGAUCUGAGAUCUCAGCAGAGUUUAGACAAUGUGAUCAUGCUGAAAUGCAGUAUUGGACAGAAGUGAUAAAUAUGCUUACUUAGAGAUCCAGCUGUCAAUUCUUCUAAAAACUGCUGGAUGUGGAUACCAUUUCUGGGAUCACAAUGAAAAAGAAAAGUUUGCUUUGGGAAUUGUGCUGUCCUUAGUCAGCAUCUUUUUGUAACUAUAUAAUAAACUUACCCUGUUGCUGUGUGAGCUCAUGGGUGGAUUGGCAAUGUAGUAGUGAGUCUUUUGAUGUCAAAACAUUACAAUGUACUUAGAGUUGCCAUUGGCUAAUGCUAUUUUAAGUGAGAGAGAGAGUAUGAAUGAGAGUUACAGUAAUGGCCAUUCAUUUGUAGGUCACUGAAGGAUGGAAAGCCUCACCCUGCCUGCCUGUGUGAACUUGGCUGUUGAUCUACAUAACAGCAGGACCUGGGGUUCCCUCCAAGUCAUAAUCCAUAUCUCAGGACUGGAAUUCCAGUUUCAUUGCCUGUACACACUAGGAGGUAAGUGACUGCAGUAUACAAAGAACAGAAUUUUUAUGCAUCUCAUUCUGUGAUUGUUGCUUUUACCUCCUAGUACUGGGAAAGCCUUUUUUCUGUCAUGCAUAUGCUAUAGUGCUUUCAGGUGCCUCCUUUGUGAAAUAGCAUGAAACUUCCAGUGAAGUAGUACAUUUGUAUAUGUUGUGGAUUCUGCUGGAAAUAAGCACAUUUUCUGGAAGUCAUUCUCCAGGUAAGACACCAGAAUGUUUUACCUACUCUCUUUGUUUCUCCAUUUCCCAACUGCAUCCUGACAUAGCAGUGGCCUGAGUGACCCAGGCUGAUCAGGAACCAGUUGCCAACCUCUGCUACAGGAUGGCCCUUCAGAUGAGCUCAGUAGUGGCCAUUCACAGCAGGGCACUGUGGCAGAAGAGGUCACUGCCAGUUCUGAGCUGCCUUGGUGACAAAUGAAAACUCAGAGUGUCAUUUCAGAUACAAACUCUGCUUAGAAAACAAUUCUCAGCAGAUUGAGCUCACAAAGCACACAAGAUUGAGACAGUAGAAAUAAUUUCUAUGACUUCCACUCCCAUUGCCAAGAGGAAUCAGGGCUCCUGGAGAACUCUGAAUUGAUCCAGAUACAGAGCUGGAGAGGCAGAGAAGGUGAAUGCUGCUGGCAGCAGGGCAGGCAGCCAGCGUGCUGUUCUCUUCCAGACUUUCAUGGCUGCACAGAGCAUAGCAUCUCCCUCUACCAUUUAGUAAAUUUAUGACAUCACCAGCUGUUACCAGGGAAACACAGAAACUACAGAUUUGGAUCUUGGCAGCUAGGUAUAAAGAGAAAAUAUCUUGCUCUUUUGGGGGUCAAAUAGGAAGGCUGAAACAAAUUCCAGAACAACUUUGAAUUGGAACAAAAUUGAGGUAGAUCAGUAAUUCCAAACCAAACAAUUUACCUGCUAAAGUGACAGUGUGGUCCCUAUUAUAUUCCUCACAGAAAAUAAUCAUAGGGGAUCAAGUGCAAGAUGUGUAACUUCAUGCAGCUUAAGCAUAUCAUCCAGACAUGAGACCACUGACAACUUCAGUUCUGAUCAGUGGAUUUAACAAGCAACUUUUAGGGAUGCGAUAUCCUCUGACCAAUGAUUUUUCAGAAAGUGCUGAUUGCUGCCUCUUGAGAAAGUUUGCUGGUGUUUCACAUCAAAGAAAGUAGGUAGUGUUGAGUUUCGGUAAAAUGGUGUGCAAAUACCAUUACUGUUCUGACAAAGUAUGUGAUUUUAUAGCUUUUAAAAAUGUGGGGUUUGUGAGAACCGAUGUUUUCAGACAUUAAUUUUAUGACUUUUAGGUGCUUGAGAUUUUUGAAGUUAUGAAAAUCACAUUUUAGUAUUUUAGUAGCAUUAGCUGACAUUUUAUUUAUGUUGCAUGUUAAAAUGAGAACUCUGCUUUUUAAAUUGGUUAUUAUUUGAGUAUUGAGUAGUUGAGACCCAGCCAAUAUGAGCUCUUGUGCAGGCCUGUUUGAUUUCAUUUACACUGCACAAGAUGUACGGGUGUGUACUUGAGUUACCCAGAAACAAAUGCAUCUUUGCAGCAGAUGGAGCAAGCUCAAGUGGGGACUCCAGCCGAAUUCAAGCCUGGAAUUGUAACAGCUGCUUUGCCUCUAUUAAUGCCUGCAAAGCUAUGGGCUGUAUGACUGGAGAUCCCAGGUCAUACGUCUACCAGAAAGGCAGAGAUUGCUAUGCCCACUAGAUGUGCAGAAGAUGUGAGACAAUCUGUAUGGAAUGCUAAAGAUUUAUGGACUCACCCUAUUUGGCUGUAUCUCCACUAAGGAGCAAAAUUUAUGUAGGGAAAAAAUCCCUCUAAUGCUAAUCUGGUGUUAAAUAUAUCCAUGAUGAAGGUUCUUAUGUGGACAUUGAGCGUAUUUCCAGCACUGUUCCACAGCUCUUGUCUUAAAGAGCACAGGAACAAGUUUAAUCUGAUUUGUGUCCUCCACACCGAAACCCAGGCAAGAUCUGGUUGCCAAACAAGGAGUCUCUUUCCCGUUUUGUUGGUGGCCUUGGAUCCUAGAAUUUCUAUGUCACAAAGCAGUUUGCAUACAGUCUGGAUUUUGUUAUCUGAAACAUGGUCCAAUGUUCCCUGUUGUGCCUUGUUUCAGUGGGAUAAUGACCAAGUAAACUGCUGAGACAUGGAUGGAUUGCCAGGGAUAUGUCAUGAGAAAGCUGUCCAGAGUCCUCUGCCCACAUGCUGUGAUGCUGGCUCACAUUUCCAAAGCAGGGAUGCACACAGAGGAGAUCAUUACUGCUCCAAAGAGCUUAGUUAUCUAUGCAAGUUCCUUUUUUUAUCCUUUAAAGUGAGUCACUUGGAAAGGCUCCUUUUUUGGUCCUCUUGAGUUUGACUGCUGGUUCUUUUUGCUUGUAUGCCCAGUCAGAGCUCUGAGACUUGUGACUGGGCCUGCAAUGGCCAUUGGGGCUGCUGUCAUGGUUUAUCUCUCUGGAGUGGUGAAAAUAUCAUUCUUCUCAAUUUUCUUUUUUUUUAAAGGACAUCGAAGAUAUUUCUGACAAGGAAGGAAUGGAAUUAUUGGGAGAAUUCAUGGACAGCCAGGAUGGAGUUCCACCUGCAGACUUUCCAGUUGCAGAUUUGAACUGAAAUUCCCAUGAGAAGGAUGUUUUAUGUGGUCAUUUCAUGGUGUUUGUGGCCUCUGCCAUGGUUAUAGAACUCAGUGCACUCUGUGGUCUCCACAUACGUCUCCUGUUCCACUUUCCAAAUGCUGUGUCCACUGGAGCUACUCUUAAGUACCCACAGGGGAUCAGUAGGAAGUACUUUAGCCCUCUGCACACCCCACAUUGGCAUUUAGCAAAACAAAUCAAUAUGACAAGACUGCAUUAAUCAGACCAAUAGAUGAUACUUAUUAUUUUAUAUACACAGGCUCUUAUAAGUUACUACAGAGCACCUUCACAUUCUUGCUGAUGUCCUCCCUAUAUGUGGUGUACUGGAAGAGGAGGGGCAGUUUUAUAGGACAUACAGGGACAGAAAGACAAGGAGCUUCAACUGGAUGGGAGCCCUGUCCUCUGAAGAAGUUACUUGUGAAGAGCCAGAAAGAAAAUCAUUAAAUCUGGUAACUGCAUUGAUUGAGUUUGUAACACAAAUGAACACAGCACAGUUCUUCCCAUUCCUUCUGGAUUGGCACUGUGUUGGGAAAGGUGAUAAAGAAAAUUUCUGCUGUGCUGGUUAUAUUUAUGAUAGAUGAAAGCCUCUCUAAAGAUGACACCCUCUUGCUCUCUUUCAUGAUCUUCUGAUGUAUCUUAAGUCUUGAUUGCUGACUAAGGUAGCAACAUGGAUAAUCAAGCUUUUAAAGGCCCUAUUUAAUAAAUCUUAUAACAACAUUAAGAGAAGCUAAGGUGUAUUCUUCUCUUACAGUGUACCAUUAAAAGAACUGGUAUCACAUUUUCCCUGUAAAAUAGCUCCUAAAAAUUAUCUGAGCUGACUUUGAGGAUGACCAUGCAAACCUUCCUGCUUCCUUCUUUAGAAAGAAAAGAGACACAGCAUGAGAGACACUUUUCAAAGUAUUCCUCACCAUUAGCCUAGUGCUGAGGGAUUUGGUGCCCUACAGCUAGGAAUACUUAGAAGUGUCAUGCAGAAAAGGGACUCAGGCCAGUCCUGAGUUGCUAAGUUCCUCUAAAGGGAUUUUGCCAAAAAAGGAGAGGAAUUUAUCACCUAUUAGAACAUAGUUUGGCUGUACUAUGCAAGCAAUUUAAUAAACUCUUCCUGUAGGAGUAGUGGCAGUUUUUGAAAUGAAAGAAGUAGGGCUGCUUCAUUUGCACCGAAGAAUUUUCGCUAUUGACUUCACUGGAGCCGUGGCUCUUUACCAGAUCCAUAUCCUAAAGGGCUAAAGUGCCCUUAAAGGAAUGGCUGCAAACUUAUAAAUUGUAAUCUGAGUCCUCAGCUGACAUGACAACCAGCACCACUUCUGCUUAGGAUCUUGCCCUGCAAACCUGUAACCCCCUGUCUAUAGUAGUCACUCAGUAUUCAGUUUGCCCCCAACUAUUUUUACUGGAAUUUCUGUUAAUAAUAAAGAGCAUCUCCUUUCAAAGAAGUGUUUAAAGGCAAAUUAUACUACUGAGUACAUAGUGUUUCAGUGCUUGGGCUUCAAACACUCUGGAACAGGCUGAUUUGUUUAAUAGCUACAGUCCUGACUGGAAUGUUUUUAAACUGUGUAAACAUUCCUACUAGUUUUAUGGGUUGCUAAACUUUUUUCUUUUUUCUUUUUUCCUUUUUCUUUUUUUUUAAAUGUGGGUACAAAUUUAACUUGACAGUGUACUUUCCAAGCCUCCAUUAAAUAGGGCCAACUUGCUAUUGAUAGAGAAAUAUCUCUGGAAUAGCUUUAUGAUGCCUUGCAGUAGAAGAUUUUUCAUUAACUCUGCCUAGAAAGAGAAACCCAACCUAACAUGUCUUUGUGAGUUCUUACUGUGCCUUAAUGUCUGUGAGACCCCUGCUGGUUGAAAGGGGAAGAGAUGGGAAUGAAAAACUCCCAAGAUAAUUUAAUGGAGAAAGGAAUUUAUUUUCAGAGUAUGUUGUGUUUGCCAAUCACUGUUACCAUGCAGCCACCAAAGACCUCAGUGCUUUGAAACUUCUCACUUACAGGUUGCACUUUGUUGGUGCUUUCCUCACAUAAUUGUGUUUUAUCUCCCUUCAAGUGUGUCAGUGCUGUUUUAAAAGAUCAGUAUAGAAAUAUUCAGCUACACCAUCUGGUUUCAGUUUUCCUUAAUCUGGUGUCAGCCAAGAUCAAUCUUAUACAGCCUGGAUGAUUAAAAAGGACAGAGUUAAACCUGCUGCAUUUUAGGGAUUUAAGCCUUCCUUUUCCUCCUGUAAAUUUUGACCUUUUCAAAAUGGGCUUCCCCCUCCCCCCCAAGAAAGUGGAACAUAAAAUAAAUGUUUGCUACUUUUCCAGAGGAGCCAAAUUCCAUGCAUUCUGGCUGCUUUUCACUGACACAAAAAUUAUUCCAAAAUAAUUUCUCAUUAUUUACAAAAUGACACUAUGUUACUGUAACAAUAACAGCUAACUUGGCCCUUUGAAAGUUAUGUACUUUCUCAAGAAAUUUCAAUCUAAGAGGCAAAACACUGAUCAUGGUGACCUUGGGAAAAUACAGCCUCAAGAAAGUAGUGGAUGUUUGUGAUUAUUUUGAAAUCUCCCGGCUGCAUCAGUUUCCCAGUGAGGCAAUUUGUGCUUGUGUCACACCCCACGGAGUGGUUCUCUUGCUUUCCCUGUCUGCAGCCUGGGUCCUGGAGAGGUAAAGGAGCAGGGGCAGCUUUAGUCCCCUCUGCUGAUGAGUUUCCUGGGGAAGGAAAAUGUGCUGUGCAUAAAAAAAAUCUAUGUAACUGUUGCCUGAUUGUCUGCCUGGUGAUGGGACUAAGCAGAGUUGGGGUGGGUACCAAUCCGUGCCACGUAGAUUUGUUUCCUCUGUUCCCGAUAGCGUGACUGAGCCUUGGGAACAGUUAGUGGGAUCGUUGAUGAGCUGCUGAAUUCUUGUCUACUUUCUUUUGUCUAGGUUGCCUCAAAUUAUCACUGAAUUUUAUUGUUUUUAUACACACACAACUUUUAAAUCCACACAGAUGACACUUUUGGUGAAAAUGCAUUACACACUUCUCAGACUUCGCAGCUGGUUGAGCACCAAUGAAGGAAAUACAUUUGGUAACUGAGCUGGGAAAGAAAGGUGCUUGGAGAUGCAGUUUCUAAUGCUUUCUUAUAGAUAUUCCCAUCAGACCAUACAAAGAACUCUUCCUGACUAUAUUAAGAAAGAAAUAGGAGAAUAUAAUUUUUUUUUUAAGAAACCUUUUAAAAUUAAAACGUUUGGGAGCUUGAUUAAAUGUACUGUGAGAAAAAUGUGCAGUUCACUUACACUAUUGACUUGAGGUUUAUACAGUAUUGCCAAGUGCUGGAACGAAUAAAGCUUUAAUAUUGGA